rnacentral:rRNA from 1 species
UACGAGGGGGGCUAGCGUUGCUCGGAAUGACUGGGCGUAAAGGGCGCGUAGGCGGAUGGCACAGUCAGAUGUGAAAUUCCUGGGCUUAACCUGGGGGCUGCAUUUGAGACGUGUGAUCUGGAGUGAGGAAGAGGGUUGUGGAAUUCCCAGUGUAGAGGUGAAAUUCGUAGAUAUUGGGAAGAACACCGGUGGCGAAGGCGGCGACCUGGUCCUUAACUGACGCUGAGGCGCGAAAGCGUGGGGAGCAAACAGG